rnacentral:lncRNA from 1 species
GGAAAGAAUAUGUCACUGCAUCUGACAGCUUUUCAUCACCAGGACCAAAAUGGGAGGAAGAAGAGGAGCAUCAUCGGGACAUGGCAGCAGCAAGAGACACACACAGCCAACUACAGGGCCCAGAAGAGAGGCACACCUACCACCUUUAGUCUGAGGGUUGAAGAAGAAAGCUGUCCAGAAUGUGUCAGUUAUGGCACACCAGCAUCGCAAGGACGUCACUAAGAGACCCGUAACCAAGAUGCAAGAAGAAUCAGGCAAACACUGACCAACUAGGCCUCCCUCCAAAGGCAUCCAACACCUGACUGGACCUUGACUCCCAACUCCCCACACCAAUCCUGGCUGGUCAGGAGUUAGGGACAAAUGCUUUAGCCCCAAAAGACUAAAAUCCUCCUACGCCAAUGGUAGAUGCUGUUAUUAAAUGUUUCGGCAGCAAAAUUAAAUAAGAAUAACC